rnacentral:tRNA from 1 species
CCACUUGUAGCUUAGUGAUAGAGCAAUGCUGCGUAAAACCAGAAACCCGGGUUCGAUUCCCGGCGGGUGCG